AAUCAUUUUGAUCACAAUUUACGUUAUUGUUGGCUGCAUCCAAUCUGAGAAACAACCCUCACCUCUCUUUCAGAUCGUGUAUUUGAUAUGAUGAUAAUUUUUACAGUUAUAAAUUUUUAAAAAUAUAUAUAUAAAUUACAAUUUUUUAAGGUUUUUUAACGUCAAAAAUAAAUCAAAAAAUAAGCUCAUAUCUGUGUCACUACCUGUGAUUUUUAAGGUUUUUUUCCCUUUUUUUAUCUAAAAAUGUGUCACGACAUGAAAACAAAACAACAGCAGCAAGCAAACAACAACAAAAGAGAGUUAGGACAGUUGAGAAAGAGGAUUAAAAAUCUGUCUUGAAAAAUAAAGAAAGAAAUAGCAAAGAGAGGAGAGAAGAAAAAUGGUGUUUAACAGCUUAAUUGUAUUAUCAGUAGCCCACGUAUCAGCAGACGUAUGGCAACAAAUAGCAUGCAUAAGGUUCCAAGAUCGUGUAAGCAGUCACCAGCUCCUUGAUCUUGUUUGCUGCUUUCCUCUUCAACAACUGGGCCGUUUAGCUCUUUUCGUCUGGACUUUCCUCUGCUUGCCUCCACCUGAUUCUUUCCUGUCUUCUUACUCUUAUUACUCCACAUCAUCAGAUGAUGAAGAUCGCCAUCAGUAUGGUCAUCAUCAUCAUCAAGCCUCUUCUUCUUCCUCCUCUGCUGAUGUUGAAUACUACUACUAUGACUCUGACUGAUUUACUCCAUUUUGUUUCAUCAUUUGUUUGUAGAGUUUGUCUUGAUAGAGGAUCGGAAAAGAUGAUUGUGUUCAAGUUUUGACUUCAGUCGGCUACAUCAAGCAAAGAGUUUCCAGAUGAGUAAGAUAACUAAAAGGAGCUUGUUUAUGUUCAUCUUGUUUGUAUCCCUCUAGCUGUUGACAGUGCUGAAUCUUUCUCGAUUGCCCUAACCUACAGACAGACAUCCUCAAGGAGAAACAUAAUUUUUCUCAGAUGGCUUUUGAAGAUUGCAAACCAUAUGUAGAGACUGCAGGUUUCUCAUUACUUUUGACCCUAUGUUUCCCGUGUUGCUUUCCGGAGAGUUGCCUGAAGCAGCUAUGGUUGGUAUCCCUAUUCUCAAAUUCUAGCAGCUGCAUUCUAUGAUAUCGCAUCUGCCUUAUUAGUAUUAAUCAAAACGAUCAGUCUCUUGAGAAUGAGUUAUCCACAUGUGGUUUUCCUGUCCUUUGUUAAAACAGAAACUAGAUAUGGAAAGAUAAGAGAGGAAAUAUGUUGGAAAGUUGGCAAGUUAGUUUCGAUGAGAAUCGAGUGUAGGGUCAUCGGCAUCUUCACUCGUCGUUUUCAAACUUCUCUUGAGGCCGUCAUUAAGAGGGUCUUUGCGAGUAAGAAGAGCAUCCACUGGCCAUUUUACAGCCUUCAGAGUGUUGGGAAAGUCUCUGCUAUCAUCAAGUAGCAAGAAAACUUGUGCAUUGGGAGAUUAGAGGGCCUUGAAAUCUGGGGUGAGUAACAGUUGGGAGUUCUGGUACUCUGUGUGUAAAACACAGUUGAAACCUGUUCAGGAAGGCUCAUCGUUCGUCGGCAACAGCCAGGCCAUCUUCAGUGAGAUUCAUGGGACGAUAUCCCAAAUCAGGGGAAGCAUUUAUGUGCGGGACAUGCUCAUGGGAUUGGUUCAGCAUGCAUCUCCGAGUCUCCAUGUGCAGGACAUGCACAAUGACUUGAACACGACAUGACCAGAACGAAAACACCAUACAAGUCAUUCAUGCUAAUUCUUAUAUGGUAAUGGGUUGUCACAAAUCGGAUUUUUAUUAUAUUUAUUAUUCAACGAGUAAAAUUCUUAAAAUAGAGUUUUGGAUAUGAGAGUUUAAAUAGUGCCCGUACUAUUUAUUGUUUAAAAUAAAAUAA